CACCUGACCUGAUUUACAUUGAGUAAUAGCACCUGUUGUGUUAUGGAGUAAUUUAAUACUGUGUGGAGUACAAGAAGUUGUUUGUAAUAAAUGGAGAAGGGAAGACUUCUAAAUAAGAUAUUCUACAUCAUUCCCUGGAAGCAUUCAGGGAACAUACCUGAAUUAGCAUUUCAGUAUGAAUUAGGAACGUGCUUUUGAAGUAAAGCUCCCCAUUGUCUCUACUUGCUGUGCUUGGAUUCACAUUUUGAAGUGGUCUUGGAGAGCACAAGACGGACGUUUGUGGGGGUAACCAAACAAUGUGCUCCAGCCAUUUCCAGCUACAGGGUGUGUCUGGGUCCUCCGCUGAGGCAGGCAGAAUCACUCUGCUGCAGGAAGGUGCCUAAAUUUGAGGCACUGAAAGCUUGUAUCAGCUGUCUGAAGAGUAUCACCAACUGGCUUUAGCUGCGGUCUCCAAGCAGAUCUUCUGUAUAACAGGCUCUAUUGUGUCUGUUUUUGGACACCAGAAAGUGAUUAAUGUAAAUGGAGAAUCACUUGUGAAAGUCUGGCUGAGAUACAGGAACUUAUAGAAGGAAGAAUGCUACCAAGCAGUUCUCCAUGGAAAUGCUCUUGCCAUGAUACUCAGGAGAUUAUCCUUUCUCUAGCUGCUACUCUCAUCUCCGUUCACUAAGCACUUUCCAAGUUUGGCAGAAGAAAAUGCUGUUGUCCUACAAGCUGAACACUACCCAGUCUUGCUCAGGCUAAACCAGUACCACCCA
rnacentral:lncRNA from 1 species